rnacentral:rRNA from 1 species
UACGAGGGGGGCAAAUGUUGUUCGGAAUCACUGGGCGUAAAGGGAGCGUAGGCGGGUUUCUAAGUCAGGUGUUUAAUCCCGGGGCCCAACCCCGGACAGGCACUUGAAACUGGGAAUCUUGAAUAGGGGAGAGGUCAGUGGAAUUGGAGGUGUAGCGGUGGAAUGCGUAGAGAUCUCCAAGAACACCAGUUGCGAAGGCGGCUGACUGGACCCAUAUUGACGCUGAGGCUCGAAAGCAUGGGGAGGCAAACAGG